AACGAACGCUGGCGGCAGGCCUAAUACAUGCAAGUCGAACGCCUGUAGCAAUACAGGAGUGGCGCACGGGUGAGUAACACGUGGGUAUCUACCUAGCUGUACGGAACAACCGCGGGAAACUGCGGCUAAUACCGUAUACGCCCUUCGGGGGAAAGAUUUAUCGCAGCUAGAUGAGCCCGCGCCCGAUUAGCUAGUUGGUGGGGUAAAAGCCUACCAAGGCGACGAUCGGUAGCUGGUCUGAGAGGAUGACCAGCCACACUGGGACUGAGACACGGCCCAGACUCCUACGGGAGGCAGCAGUAGGGAAUAUUGGACAAUGGGCGAAAGCCUGAUCCAGCCAUGCCGCGUGAGUGAUGAAGGCCUUAGGGUUGUAAGCUCUUUCAGCGGGGAAGAUAAUGACGGUACCCGCAGAAGAAGCCUCGGCUAACUCCGUGCCAGCAGCCGCGGUAAUACGGAGGAGGCUAGCGUUGUUCGGAAUUACUGGGCGUAAAGCGUGCGUAGGCUGUUUUUCAAGAUGAGUGUGAAAGCCCGGAGCUCAACUCCGGAACUGCGCUCAUGACUGGAAGGUUAGAGUCCGAGAGAGGUGAGUGGAAUUCCCAGUGUAGAGGUGAAAAUUCGUAGAUAUUGGGAAGAACACCAGUG
rnacentral:rRNA from 1 species